CGUAAGACGUAAAAUAUAACUUUUAACGUUAGAUUUUACGUAAAAUAUAUAAAAUAACGUAAAAGAAACGGUUGGGUUUAGGAAAGGAAGAACGGGGAAAGCAAACGUGACUCGCAGGAAACGAGCCCCGGUCUCUGGGGUGAAAGUCCUGUGUUUUUCCCUCACACACAUUCUUCCUCUAACUGCUAUGGCGUCAAUUCACACACAAUCGCAAUUGGUAUACGGAAGUACCGGAAGUACAUGCCACUUAAAAAUCUAACUCCCUCUUCACUUGGACACAAGUCCGUUGGCGGCCAGCAAGAGCAAGAGAAAGUUGAAAGUUGAAGUGCCGUGCAAAGAUGUCCUGUAAAGACAGAAUAAGGAAACAGAAAAAGAAGGACCUGCAGGAGGCAGCAAAAGGCAGUGGAUCCCUAAGCAGCUGGGUUAUUAGGAGCACCACAGGAAACUUCCAAGACAGCUCAUCAGAGAUCCCGCCCCACGCCUCAUCCAUCCAGAUCUUCAGCCAACUCUCUUCACCACCACCACUUCCACCUGUGUCUAGACUCCAUCGGGGGACUAUUUCUGUAAUGCUCACGGCAUCACCACCGCCUAAUAAUGAUGACGUCCUGAUGGGAUCUAAUCGCCAAAGUCUUUAUUGUGCGCCAUAUCAAAAAAAUGUAUUUGAUCACUCUUAAAAUUAAGGUCUCUUCUGAUUGAAAUGGCUUUUGUCACACCAGCUAGUAGCAUUUGCAUUUUCUACAUGCACUUUAUAUUCAGCUAAUUAUAAAUGAAAUA